UCCAGACUCCUACGGGAGGCAGCAGUGGGGAAUAUUGGGCAAUGGGCGCAAGCCUGACCCAGCGACGCCGCGUGAGGGAAGACGGUCUUCGGAUUGUAAACCUCUUUCAGCAGGGAAGACAAAAGGACGGUACCUGCAGAAGAAGCCACGGCUAACUACGUGCCAGCAGCCGCGGUAAUACGUAGGGAGCAAGCGUUGUUCGGAAUGACUGGGCGUAAAGGGUGCGUAGGCGGUUGUACAAGUUAGAAGUGAAAUACCCAGGGCUUAACUCGGGUGCUGCUUCUAAAACUGUAUGACUUGAGUGCAGUAGAGGUUAGUGGAAUUCCUAGUGUAGCGGUGGAAUGCGUAGAUAUUAGGAGGAACACCAGAGGCGAAGGCGGCUAACUGGACUGCAACUGACGCUGAGGCACGAAAGUGUGGGGAGCAAACAGGAUUAGAUACCCGUGUA
rnacentral:rRNA from 1 species